ACAGCUAAAAUAUUCGUCUACAAAAAAGCAAGCUGCUUUGCUGCCUACUCGGUCACUGAAUUGGUAGUUUACCCAAAAUAAAACUUCUGUCAUCAUUUACACACCUUUAUGACAUUACAAACAUGAUGAAUUUUGGCUGUGGUACACAACGGGACAUUUUUUAAUGAAUAGGCCUGUUACCAUGAAGAAAUUCACACAGGUGCGGAAAAACAUGAGGGAGUGUUUUGGUAAAAAUUUUAAAAAUGCACUUUGUGUUGAGUGCAUCUUCACUGAUCAUUGCAUCAUGCACUACGACCUCAAUACUGAAAACACAAACCUCAAUCGUGGUACCAAUCCUAAAACAGCAUGCAUUAAAAAGCAACUCUAAAUACAACAGAUAACUAGAGAAAACAUCAACAGUGUGAAUAAAUAAAGCCAGCAAAGACUAAAACAGUAAUAUUUAAAAA